CCUACGGGAGGCAGCAGUAGGGAAUCUUCCACAAUGGGCGAAAGCCUGAUGGAGCAACGCCGCGUGGGUGAAGAAGGUCUUCGGAUCGUAAAACCCUGUUGUUAGAGAAGACAGUGCGUGAGAGUAACUGUUCACGUUUCGACGGUAUCUAACCAGAAAGCCACGGCUAACUACGUGCCAGCAGCCGCGGUAAUACGUAGGUGGCAAGCGUUAUCCGGAUUUAUUGGGCGUAAAGGGAACGCAGGCGGUCUUUUAAGUCUGAUGUUAAAGCCUUCGGCUUAACCGGAGUAGUGCAUUGGAAACUGGGAGACUUGAGUGCAGAAGAGGAGAGUGGAACUCCAUGUGUAGCGGUGAAAUGCGUAGAUAUAUGGAAGAACACCAGUGGCGAAAGCGGCUCUCUGGUCUGUAACUGACGCUGAGGUUCGAAAGCGUGGGUAGCAAACAGGAUUAGAUACCCCAGUAGUC
rnacentral:rRNA from 1 species